AUUGAACGCUGGCGGCAUGCCUUACACAUGCAAGUCGAACGGCAGCACGAGUGCUUGCACCUGGUGGCGAGUGGCGAACGGGUGAGUAAUACAUCGGAACGUACCUUAUCGUGGGGGAUAACGCAGCGAAAGCUGUGCUAAUACCGCAUACGCCCUGAAGGGGAAAGCGGGGGAUCGAAAGACCUCGCGCGAUUAGAGCGGCCGAUGCCUGAUUAGCUUGUUGGUGGGGUAAAAGCCCACCAAGGCGACGAUCAGUAGCUGGUCUGAGAGGACGAUCAGCCACACUGGGACUGGGACACGGCCCAGACUCCUACGGGAGGCAGCAGUGGGGAAUUUUGGACAAUGGGGGCAACCCUGAUCCAGCAAUGCCGCGUGAGUGAAGAAGGCCUUCGGGUUGUAAAGCUCUUUUGUCAGGGAAGAAACACCGGCUCUAACACAGUCCGGGAAUGACGGUACCUGAAGAAUAAGCACCGGCUAACUACGUGCCAGCCGCCGCCGUAA
rnacentral:rRNA from 1 species